UACAGAGGUCUCAAGCGUUGUUCGGAUUCAUUGGGCGUAAAGAGCGCGCGGAGCGGUUGUGCAAGUCGCGUGUGAAAGCCCCCGGCUCAACUGGGGAGGGUCACGGCGAUACUGCUCGACUUGAAGGCAGGAGAGGGAAGUGGAAUUCCCGGUGUAGUGGUGAAAUGCGUAGAUAUCGGGAGGAACACCAGUGGCGAAGGCGACUUCCUGGCCUGUUCUUGACGCUGAGGCGCGAAAGCGUGGGGAGCGAACAGG
rnacentral:rRNA from 1 species